rnacentral:lncRNA from 1 species
CUUCCCAUUCCCCACAUUAGCAUGCUCCAAAUCACUAUAAUUCUCUAACAGAAACACAACUGCAUCCGCUAAAUCAUCGACGUGUAAAAACUCCCUUAACAACGUGAAAUCUACAUAACAAUGCAGGUAAAAAGUGGGAGUUUUCAAGGUGGAAAUUGUCAUUUGACUCAUUUCUACCAUAUAAAUUUGUGGGCAUUGCUCAAAUAACAUUAAAAAUUGGAUCUUUGGCAAAAAUAAUUAACAAAAACAUAGUUUCCGAAAUAAGUACAUCAGAGAAUCAAUAAUUCAAGCUUAUUAUAAUCUUUGAACAAUCCGAAAACAUGAAUAACAACAACAAUCUCAUAUCAAGAUACAUCCAAAAGUCACCUGAACUAUUGUUUGCCAUAAUUCUCCACAUACCAUUUGUAAGUAUCAACAAGACCAUCUCGAAGCGAUAUCUUUGGUGUCCAACCCAAUCUAGCAAUCUUCGAAUUAUCCAUAAGCUUCCUCGGUGUCCC